ACUCAGUAAAACAAGACCACAAAUCUAGGCAGUUCAGUGAGAAAAUACCAUAGUGAUUUACUGGAGGGUCACCGUGAGCUGCAACUUGACAGCACUUGAAGCAUGGCAUAACCAUCGUUUCCAGUAGCAUGCUAAAUUUUGAGAGCAGAUCGGUACGUGGUAGAGAAUGCUGAACUGGACAAAAUUUCUGUUGGUAGCCAACAAGAAUUUUGAUGCGCUCCAAAAACAGCUUAAAGAGACGAACUUAAAAAGAGGAGACUGCAAAAUCAGUG